CUGGAGCAGAAACACCUUCCAAGGAAUGGUUAUAAUUCCUACCAUCUGGUUAGCCAAGUUCCAACUGGUUCUGGUGGCUUUACAGGUGGAAAACUGAUUAACAGUAUGAACAUGGAGUUUCAGAUACUGGUCAGCAGUGUCCAGCUCAAUCCGGUUCAAACGUGGCAGAUCAAGAGUCUUAUAUGAGCUCCUCUGACCCUAAUGGUAUGUAUAUAUUUAAAGAUUCUUCUGAACCCUCAUAAUUUUUUUUUAGUAAUGCAUGUUUAUUCUUGCUCUUCUCACCACUAUAUAUUUUUUGUUUCCCGUUAUGAUUUCAUAUUGUCUUGAAGUUGCUUUUAAUGGAAUUGAAGAUUUAUCUUGUUAGGAGACGUCAUUAAACUCAUAAAACAAGCCAACCAGGUAUGAGAGAUAAUUACAGCUGGCUGGUCAACGAAAUUAAAAAUAAUCAUAUUGUGUUACCUAGAUUUCCCAAAUGUAAAUUGCUAUAAAAAAACAAAUACUUGUCUUUCAAUAUAAUUUAUACCUUAGCGGAUUUCUUUUUCUAUUGGCCAGUAUGAUAAAGAAUAUUUUCAAUAAGAGUGAAACAACAGGGAAUGUA